rnacentral:rRNA from 1 species
AGUGAACGCUGGCGGUAGGCCUAACACAUGCAAGUCGAACGGCAGCACGGUAAGAGCUUGCUCUUACGGGUGGCGAGUGGCGGACGGGUGAGGAAUACAUCGGAAUCUACUUUUUCGUGGGGGAUAACGUAGGGAAACUUACGCUAAUACCGCAUACGACCUACGGGCGAAAGCAGGGGAUCUUCGGACCUUGCGCGAUUGAAUGAGCCGAUGUCGGAUUAGCUAGUUGGCGGGGUAAAGGCCCACCAAGGCGACGAUCCGUAGCUGGUCUGAGAGGAUGAUCAGCCACACUGGGACUGAGACACGGUCCAGACUCCUACGGGAGGCAGCAGUGGGGAAUAUUGGACAAUGGGCGCAAGCCUGAUCCAGCCAUACCGCGUGGGUGAAGAAGGCCUUCGGGUUGUAAAGCCCUUUUGUUGGGAAAGAAAAGCAGCAGGUUAAUACCCCGCUGUUCUGACGGUACCCAAAGAAUAAGCACCGGCUAACUUCGUG